GUAGGGAAUAUUGGGCAAUGGUCGGAAGACUGACCCAGCCAUGCCGCGUGCAGGAAGACGGCCCUCUGGGUUGUAAACUGCUUUUAUCUGGGAAGAAAAAGGCCAUGCGUGGCAAAUUGCCGGUACCAGAUGAAUAAGCACCGGCUAACUCCGUGCCAGCAGCCGCGGUAAUACGGAGGGUGCGAGCGUGGUCCGGAUUUAUUGGGUUUAAAGGGUGCGUAGGCGGCUGAGUAAGUCAGCGGUGAAAGACUUCGGCUUAACCGGAGCAGUGCCGUUGAUACUGGUUUGCUUGAGUGUCGGAGGGGUACAUGGAAUUGAUGGUGUAGCGGUGAAAUGCAUAGAUACCAUCAGGAACACCGAUAGCGAAGGCAUUGUACUGGCCGACAACUGACGCUGAUGCACGAAAGUGUGGGGAUCGAACAGGAUUAGAAACCCGAGUAGUCC
rnacentral:rRNA from 1 species